GACGAACGCUGGCGGCGUGCCUAAUACAUGCAAGUUGAACGCUUCUUUCUUAUCGAACUUCGGUUCACCAAGAAAGAGAAGUAGCGAACGGGUGAGUAACACGUGGGUAACCUGCCCAUCAGCGGGGGAUAACACUUGGAAACAGGUGCUAAUACCGCAUAAUGCUUUUUUCUCACAUGAGAGAAAGCUGAAAGGCGCUUUUGCGUCACUGAUGGAUGGACCCGCGGUGCAUUAGCUAGUUGGUAGGGUAACGGCCUACCAAGGCAACGAUGCAUAGCCGACCUGAGAGGGGUGAUCGGGCCCACACUGGGGACUGAGACACGGGCCCCAGAACUUCCUACGGGAGGGCCAAGCCAGUUCGGGAAUCUUUCGGGCAAAUGGGAACGAAAGUCUGACCGAAGCAAACGCCCGGCGUGAAGUGAAGAA
rnacentral:rRNA from 1 species